rnacentral:lncRNA from 1 species
GUCCCGCUGCAAAGCUUUCUCUGGUCCUUCUGGGAUCAUCAUCUAGGUAUCAUUGCCUGCCAGACUUCCAUCAUCUCUUGUCAGUCACCGCGGUUGCCUCGUCCACCAGACGCUGUAGUCUCCUUCCGUGGUAUAGUCACCGGCCCUGGAGCAGUGCUAAACCUCCGUGGGGUUCUUCAGGCAGAUUCUCUCCUUUGGUGAUCACCUACCGCCAGCCUCAGCGUCCGGGGAAAAGAAAAAUACGAUGAAGUUGUGGUCUCGGCAGCUCAGCCCUCACUUCACUACACUGGGGUCCCUGGGGUUUCCCAAAAGACCCAGUGAGAUGCAAAACUGAUUUACGCUCUUGAGCAUAUAAUGAGCUCCUGAAGGGAUCUCCAAGGGGCUCCCUCGCUGACCCCAUUAAAUAUACAGAUAUUUUCUAAAGUUGAACUCCAAGAAGUAUUUCUCACGGGAGCUGGAUAUAAAAAUCAAACUCCAUAUGUCUCCUCUAUGCCGCAGUGUGGGCCAGCUGUUGCCAAGGAUUUCUUGAAUGUGUUAAAACAAAGAGUAGUUUGAAGAAGACGUUGAAUGAGAAGC